CCUACGGGAGGCAGCAGUGGGGAAUAUUGCACAAUGGGGGCAACCCUGAUCCAGCCAUGCCGCGUGGGUGAUGAAGGCCCUAGGGUUGUAAAGCCCUUUCGGCGGGGAAGAUAAUGACGGUACCCGCAGAAGCAGCCACGGCUAACUUCGUGCCAGCAGCCGCGGU
rnacentral:rRNA from 1 species